GACAGUUUUCAAUACUGUCAUGGAGUCAUUUUGCUUACAUGAAUAAAUGGCCCACGUAAAAUAACGCCGAAAGGGCGGAGGAUUUGCAUUGCACUCAGCACAACAAGAUUAUCGACCUGUUUUGGACUUUCUGAAGAGCAGAAAAGCACGAUUUCAAACUCAAAGGUUGUUGAUCCAAUACUCAAAAACACGGCGAAGAUGAAGUGUUGAAGACUUGUGAAGAGGUGGUCGCUUCUUCGCCAGCACUGUUGAAUGUUUCAAAAUAAAUGCCUUGACAGCAAAGAAACCCUACAGAGUAAAGAGGGACCAUUUGGCCCUUUGAGUCUGUACUGACUCUCCAAAGAGCAUCCCAGCUUUCUCAUUCCAUAACCAUGCCUUCAAUAUGGUCAAUUCACCAAACCUGCAUAUCUUUGGACUUUGGGGGGAAAACAGAUUACCCACAGGAAACCGACACAGACACGGGGAGAAUGUGCAAACUCCACAAUGACAGACACUCAAGGCUGGAAUCGAGUGUGGGCCCCUGGUGCUGUGAGGCAGCAGUGCUAACCAUGGAACCACCAUGCCACCUCUAAAGAACAGAUCAGUACCUACCUAGGUUUGCUGGAAAGGAUAUGGUGCAGCAAAAGGGACUCCCCCUAUGUUUUCGGACUCCUGCAUGUGCCC